rnacentral:lncRNA from 1 species
UGUAUCUGGCUCUGAGGGGCCUGUCUCUCUCUCUCUCUGUCUGUAUCUGGCUCUGAGGGGCCUGUCUCUCUCUCUCUGUCUGUAUCUGGCUCUGAGGGGCCUGUCUCUCUCUCUCUCUGUCUGUAUCUGACUCUGAGGGGCCUGUCUCUCUCUCUGGGCCUGUCUCUCUCUCUCUCUCUGUCUGUAUCUGGCUCUGAGGGGCCUGUCUCUCUCUCUCUCUCUCUGUAUCUGGCUCUGAGGGGCCUGUCUCUCUCUCUCUCUGUCUGUAUCUGGCUCUGAGGGGCCUGUCUCUCUCUCUCUCUGUCUGUAUCUGGCUCUGAGGGGCCUGUCUCUCUCUCUCUCUGUCUGUAUCUGGCUCUGAGGGGCCUGUCUCUCUCUCUCUCUCUGUAUCUGGCUCUGAGGGGCCUGUCUCUCUCUCUCUCUGUCUGUAUCUGGCUCUGAGGGGCCUGUCUCUCUCUCUCUCUGUCUGUAUCUGGCUCUGAGGGGCCUGUCUCUCUCUCUCUCUGUCUGUAUCUGGCUCUGAGGGGCCUGUCUCUCUCUCUCUGUGUCUGUAUCUGGCUCUGAGGGGCCUGUCUCUCUCUCUCUCUGUCUGUAUCUGGCUCUGAGGGGCCUGUCUCUCUCUCUCUCUGUCUGUAUCUGGCUCUGAGGGGCCAUGCUGAAGCCACCAGCCAGCCUGUCUCUCUCUCUCUGUGUCUGACCUCAAUGAGAACACAGCAGCUCGUUCUGUUCAUCAAUCAUUCAUCACCUAGUAGGGUGUCAGUGGGCCAGGUGUCCUUCCUGGUUGGAACUGUCUCCCUCGUUUCAGUAGGACCUGUAGACAUUAACGAGGUCCAGUAGGACCUGUAGACAUUAACGAGGUCCGGUAGGACCUGUAGACAUUAACGAGGUCCGGUAGGACCUGUAGACAUUAACGAGGUCCGGUAGGACCUGUAGACAUUAACGAGGUCCAGUAGGACCUGUAGACAUUAACGAGGUCCGGUAGGACCUGUAGACAUUAACGAGGUCCGGUAGGACCUGUAGACAUUAACGAGGUCCGGUAGGACCUGUAGACAUUAACGAGGUCCAGUAGGACCUGUAGACAUUAACGAGGUCCAGUAGGACCUGUAGACGAGGUCCAGUAGGACCUGUAGACGCGGCCGGUCCGCGGGAACAUUAACGAGGUCCAGUAGGACCUGUAGACGAGGUCCAGUAGGACCUGUAGACAUUAACGAGGUCCAGUAGGACCUGUAGACAUUAACGAGGUCCGGUAGGACCUGUAGACAUUAACGAGGUCCAGUAGGACCUGUAGACAUUAACGAGGUCCAGUAGGACCUGUAGACGCGGCCGGUCCGCGGGAACAUUAACGAGGUCCAGUAGGUUUAGUCAUUACAGAAGGGUGACUUGGUGAAGAGGAUUUUGAAUAUUGACUCUGUGGUCCUCAACCAGCCAGCAUGGAAGCUACUGGUGUUUAGAUUUUCAUUGGCUUCUCUCCAAGCUUGGCUCAAUGUGCAGGGAACUUUGUGUUUGCAUGAUAUGCCAACGGCUGUGUCCUCUAACCCAGCCUGGCAGUUAGGACUUAUCCUCUGUUACCAUAGAG